GGCCCGUAAUCCGGGUUGCGGACAGUGUCUGGUGGGUAGUUUGACUGGGGCGGUCUCCUCCUAAAGAGUAACGGAGGAGCACGAAGGUUAGCUAAUCCUGGUCGGACAUCAGGAGGUUAGUGCAAAGGCAUAAGCUAGCUUGACUGCGAGCGUGACGGCGCGAGCAGGUGCGAAAGCAGGUCUUAGUGAUCCGGUGGUUCUGAAUGGAAGGGCCAUCGCUCAACGGAUAAAAGGUACUCCGGGGAUAACAGGCUGAUACCGCCCAAGAGUUCAUAUCGACGGCGGUGUUUGGCACCUCGAUGUCGGCUCAUCACAUCCUGGGGCUGAAGUAGGUCCCAAGGGUAUGGCUGUUCGCCAUUUAAAGUGGUACGCGAGCUGGGUUUAGAACGUCGUGAGACAGUUCGGUCCCUAUCUGCCGUGGGCGCUGGAGAAUUGAGGGGGGCUGCUCCUAGUACGAGAGGACCGGAGUGGACGCAUCACUGGUGUUCGGGUUGUCAUGCCAAUGGCACUGCCCGGUAGCUAAAUGCGGAAGAGAUAAGUGCUGAAAGCAUCUAAGCACGAAACUUGCCCCGAGAUGAGUUCUCCCUGACCCUUUAAGGGUCCUGAAGGAACGUUGAAGACGACGACGUUGAUAGGCCGGGUGUGUAAGCGCAGCGAUGCGUUGAGCUAACCGGUACUAAUGAACCGUGAGGCUUAACCUU
rnacentral:rRNA from 1 species